ACUGAAUACUGAACUGGGACUGUGGGAGGUAUCAUCUAAUCGACAUUCCCUAAUUUGAGCUAAUCGUGGUCCAACCUAUAAACCCAGUUGGAAGGGUGUUAAUACCAUGCCACGGAUACUAAUGAUGGCUGUGUGGAUCCACUAAACUAAUAUAAUGUCCAAAGGACUAAGGGUGUCAAGCCUGAACUGAUGGGUGACCCCUGUGAGAUAGCCAAGCCUAAUCUGACGGCUGACUUCUCAUACCCUACGCUGGCUACGUAAUUUUGGAGUAUAGGAACCAAUACUAAUGACUCUGCCUAUCUAACGGGAAGCCAUCAUCCCUAUACUCGCUUGGUGCUAAAUCCUACUCCCAACUGAAAGACACUGAAAUACUAGACUGUUCUGAGUUCAUCUGACUGGUAACUGACUGUUCUGAUAAUGCUCAUAGUAUGUUCUGAAGACUAUUCUGU
rnacentral:lncRNA from 1 species